rnacentral:lncRNA from 1 species
GUUAAGAAAACUGAGGCCUAGAGCAUUUAAAUAACUUGUUCCAAAAUGCUCAUAAGUGGUAAGAGUGGAUAGAUACUUGAAUGCAAGACACUUAACUCCAAGUCUCAAAUUUUUAGCCUGUAAGUCAGAGCAUGCUUUAGCUAGAGGAAAAGAUACUUGAAAGGGAAAAGGGUAGCUUGAAGAGGAGGUAAAGUUCAGAAAAAAGUGGUUUGGGCCAGAUGGAGGAAAGAGCUAAUUACUCUGUAAGUUGGAGGGAGCCAUUGAAGACUUUUAUUGGAGUGUGACGGCCACUGCAGGGCUUCCAGUGAACUACAGAAACAUUUGAGUUCAUCACUGUGCCAGACACGAUUCCAGGUACCUGAUGCUCCUACCCUUAUUUACACCUCUUAGCUACCCUGUGAGACAGGUACUGCUGAUGCCCCCGGCCCAUAAGGGAACCAAGGACGAGUACAGGGAGGUUAAAUGACUUGUUGGAAGUGGAAUUGAGUAUUGAUGAGUAAGAUGAACCAGAGGCAGAGUUAAGUCAGACCACUGUGGGAAUCUCUGAGAGACAGUGGAGGAAGGGAUGGGCAUAAAAGAGUUGGGGUACAGCUGAAGGGGCCGAGAGAGUCCAAUGGCAGAGGCUUCUGAGUUCCUCCAUGUAGGUUGCUGGUGUUGGGCAGAAUCCUUUGGAGUAUAAGAGGAGGGAGGGGAAGUCCCCUUCCUUUCCAAUUCCUCAACAGGCUUGAGGAGUCAGGUUGGGACAUUCUGCCUACAGAUGGGGCUAAAGGCCUGAGCUUAGGGCAGGUGGCAAGGCUGGGACUUAGCAAUGGGUGAAAUCCAUGGAGGUUCAAGUUGGUACAUAAGAAUGAGUGGUAGCCAGAGAGCUGGGGCCAAAGACAGAAAAUCACUGGGGCUCUCUGAACGCUUAGAUCCAAGGCUGCAUGGAAUGAUGGAGGUCAAGCAGGGUGUCCCAGUCCAUUUAGUGUUGUGGUCCCUGAAAACCACAGACUGAUAAAUUUAUAAAGAAGAAAGGCUUAUUCGGUUCAUGGUUCUGAAGCAGCAAGAGAAAAACCUGUUGGCGGGUAUCCAGACCUUCUUCAAGUCUCACUGUGAUCAAAACUGGGCUGGCAUCCUGGGAAAUAGAAAUAAUAGGCAAGAUCCCUCGUGGCUUCCAGCAGUCUGAGUGAGGAAACCAGGCAGAAACAUGGAGAGGUGUGGCCUGAGGCACCCGUGUGAAGGACAAAGCCCUUUCUCCGUAGGUCCUUGGUAACUGGGAGAGGAAGGCAGGGAACUGUGUCCUCUUUUAAAUUCAAGUAUGUAGAUGAAGGUUGAUCUUAUCAUGAUAAGACAGUAUAUGCUUCUCCAUCAGAUUGGCCUAAUGGCAAUUCUCGGUUUUGUGUUUAUCGAGG